rnacentral:lncRNA from 1 species
CCCACAUUGUUCAUAAACAUACAUAAACCCAUAAACAUAACAAUAACCUAUCAUGCAUUUCUACCCCAUAGAUCUUCAUAAAACUAGUUUAAAACAUGCAAGAAAGGUUGGAUCUAAGCUUACCUCUUGAAGGUCGAGAGGAAAGACGAUCCUAGCUUGGAGGUAGGGAGAAAUCCACUCUUUGGUCUCCAAGCUUCCAACUUGCUCUUUUUGCUCAAAUCUCUUCAAAUCAACAUAAAGCUUGUUAAAAUAGGAAAGAUCGGAGGGAAAACAUCAAAAACGAACCGUAGGAGAGCAUGAACUCACCGUGGCCGAA